CCUUUUGCAUCAUGGUCUAACUAGUCCUCUUAAGCAAAAUGAACUUUAAGUUUAACACCCCGAAACUAAACGAGCUACUUCAAAACAGCCUCAUGGGCCAACCCGUCUCUGUUGCAAAAGAGUGGGAAGAUUUUCAAGUAGAAGUGAUAUACCUACCGUGUCUAGAGAUAGCUGGUUACUCAGGAAAAGGAUAUUAGUCCAAUUUUAAACCUCCCACAUAACAUUAAGUACUACCAUAGGUUUAAUAUUUAUUCAAAUAAGGUACAGCCUAUUUGAAAUAGGGCACAGCCUAAAAUAUAGGGUAAUGUUUUUGCAUGUGACUAAGUAGGCCUAAGAGCAGCCACCUUCCCAAAAGCGUCACAGCUUCACCACAUAGUAUUUUAAUCCCAACCAAAACCCAGAACCCCUCACCCCUACCGAGUGACUCUAUACUUAUAUAGAAAACCCCAUGUUAGAACUAGUAAUAAGAAAUUAUUCUCUAUAAACGCAAGUGUAAGCCGGAAUGAAAAUUUCACCGACACUUACCGCUAAUGAACCCACAGUAAUAACAAUACAAGAAAAUCCUACUUAAUAUCGCGUUAACCUUACACCAGACUUUUACCAGAAAGAUUAAAAAAACAGGAAGGAACUCGGCAAAUAAUAACUCC
rnacentral:rRNA from 1 species